rnacentral:misc_RNA from 1 species
AAGGCUUGACAUACAGGGAAAACUGUCAGAGAUGGCAGGUCCGCAAGGGCCCUGUACAGGUGGUGCAUGGUUGUCGUCAGCUCGUGUCGUGAGAUGUUGGGUUAAGUCCCGCAACGAGCGCAACCCUCGUUCUAUGUUGCCAGCGGAUAAUGCCGGGGACUCAUAGGAGACUGCCGGGGUCAACUCGGAGGAAGGUGGGGAUGACGUGAGCCUAUCGAGA